rnacentral:rRNA from 1 species
UACGUGGGGGGCUAGCGUUGCUCGGAAUCACUGGGCGUAAAGGGUGCGUAGGCGGCGCGGUAAGUCGGGUGUGAAAUCUUGGAGCUUAACUCCGAAACUGCAUUCGAUACUGCCGUGCUUGAGGACUGGAGAGGAGACUGGAAUUUACGGUGUAGCGGUGAAAUGCGUAGAUAUCGUAAGGAAGACCAGUGGCGAAGGCGGGUCUCUGGACAGUUCCUGACGCUGAGACACGAAGGCCAGGGGAGCAAACGGG